rnacentral:rRNA from 1 species
UACAGGGGGUGCAAGCGUUAAUCGGAAUUACUGGGCGUAAAGCGUGUGUAGGUGGUUGGAUAAGUUAGAUGUGAAAUCCCCGGGCUUAACCUGGGCAUUGCGUUUAAAACUGUUUAACUAGAGUACUGUAGAGGAUAGUGGAAUUUCCAGUGUAGCGGUGAAAUGCGUAGAUAUUGGAAGGAACACCAGUGGCGAAGGCGACUAUCUGGAUAGAUACUGACACUGAGACACGAAAGCGUGGGGAGCAAACAGG